UAAGAUUGAUGAAACCUGCAGU
rnacentral:miRNA from 1 species